rnacentral:ribozyme from 1 species
CCAUUGAUUUCGAAAAAAGGAAAAGGAAAAGAAAAAGAAAAAGAAGAAUGAAUCGUUUAACUUUCCGAUCUCACCAAAUUUCUUGUUUGU